AAAAAAAUAUUUUGGAGGGUAGUAUAUAUAACCCUUGCACAUUGUUUAAAAAAUACUCAAAUAUAUUAGUCAGCAGGUGAAAACAUAUAUAAUGGGUAAAUUCUACCUACACUACCUAUUUGUAAACAGUAACAACUGCAACUUAAAAAAAUAGUGUAACACAUACUCAAAAAUUACUGGACCCGCGUGCCUUUGUCCUCGAGGGAGUUGAGCUGCUGCGCUGCUGUUUUGAAGGUAAGAUGUUGCUGUGUUUGAGCGCUAAAUUUAAUGUAAGUGUAAACCCUUUGAACAAGAUUUGUAGUCUGUGUUGUGUACAAGUGAACAUUGCUGAGGCUUUGUAGGGCAAUUCAACUUGGGCACUGUUUGGUGUAUUUUGAUUAGACCAGUGAUUCUGACUCCCGGACCUGGAUUAGCUGCCAUUCCCCUGCAGAUUUCAGUGUUUCCCCUAAUUAGUAUGAGGUGAACACUGAUAGGAACACAAGCAGUGUAGUGGCAGGCUGUGACUGUCUGAACGCCACUGGACUGGACUCAGGAGGCACGUUUGUGAUUAUUUCCCUCGCGCGGGCUUCACAGUACUUACAGCCGAAUAUGGUGCCCACUAGCACAUUUAGCUGGUCUGGCCAAACUCUCACAUCGUUUCAACCUGAAGUGUUAACUGCAUAUCCUGGACUUCUCUGUGUGAAGGUCUUCAAGUCUUGGACUCUCUUUCCUGUGGGCCUUAUACCAGUUUUCACAAAAGAUAUAUGAACACAAAAUAUUUGUACUUUUGUGAAGAGGGUGUCUGACUAAACUCAGCACUUAUUGAAGACCCGAAACUGACUAAAAUGGGAGUGUUGCCUUGUUGCAGAUGAUUUGGUUGUGCAAAAUAUGUAAUUUCUCAUCCUUAAAACGAUUGGCUCUACUGAAACACUACAGAUUACAACAUGGGCAUUUUGGUCGAAACCAGUCCAUACCCUGUCUCCAUUCGGAUUGCCCUUGCUCAUUUAGGACAUGGGGUGCAUUACGUACACAUUUGUCCAGGGAUCACCCCCAGACUACUAAACCAGGCCAGCUCCUUUCUUUCACAUGCCUAGUGUGUAAUUCAUGUUAUUUCCACACAGAAAGACAAUAUUUUGAGCACCUUGGUGGACACCUAAAAAAGUUUGAAACGGUGCCUUGUGUUUUUAAAGAAUGUGAUUACAAAACAAAUAUAUACACAACAUUCCACAGUCACAAGAGUAGAAAACACAAUCCCCAUUCAGUGGAGGAUUUUAAGACUGCUGUUUUCCGUGAGAACCAUGGCCAAGUGCUUGAAGAAAGUGAAGUUUCUGAAUGUGAAAACUACUGUGACUCUGUUCUUGAGGCAGACGAGGACUUGAAAAAAACAAUUAUUAAGAGACUGGGGUUAGUUCUUCUUAAACUGGAAUGCAUUUUCAAUGUAUCUAAUACAUGUAUUGAUGAACUAGUUGAGGAACUUUGAGGAACACCCUCAUAAUAAGUGAUUACAUUCUUUAAUUAUAGAACUUCAAAGUGUUUGGUGGAGCUGACAAAUAGACAAUGGGUGUAGUAAAAGAAGUGGCUGGUCUCUGUAAAAAAAUUGCAAAUAGGCAUGAGUUGAAAAAAGUGAUAGUUUAUGUUCCUUUAAUUUCAGCAAUCUGAAAUACCCCAGACCUAAGUAUUCUACUGUUUUGUAAUGCAGUUGUUCAAGAAAUGUGUUGAAGCUGUUAAUGGUGUUAAUGAAGUGGCUGGUCUCUGUAUAAGUUGAAAAAUAGACUCAUGAGUUGAUAGUGUUAUAACAUUUUGUGAUGCAGUUCAAACGUGUUGAAGCAUAAGACUGUUUGAGAGGAUGUACAUGUUCAAGAAACUUUGGUUUUAACUGUGUGCAUAGUGAAAAAAAUACUUUUGUAUCUUUGUGUUUUUGAAGGCACACUUAAUAAAAAAAAGUUGGCCUCAAAA